rnacentral:rRNA from 1 species
AUUGAACGCUGGCGGCAGGCUUAACACAUGCAAGUCGAGCGGAGAUGAGGUGCUUGCACCUUAUCUUAGCGGCGGACGGGUGAGUAAUGCUUAGGAAUCUGCCUAUUAGUGGGGGACAACAUUCCGAAAGGAAUGCUAAUACCGCAUACGUCCUACGGGGGAAAGCAGGGGAUCUUCGGACCUUGCGCUAAGAGAUGAGCCUAAGUCGGUUUAGCUAGUUGGUGGGGUAAAGGCCUACCAAGGCGACGAUCUGUAGCGGGUCUGAGAGGAUGAUCCGCCACACUGGGACUGAGACACGGCCCAGACUCCUACGGGAGGCAGCAGUGGGGAAUAUUGGACAAUGGGGGGAACCCUGAUCCAGCCAUGCCGCGUGUGUGAAGAAGGCCUUAUGGUUGUAAAGCACUUUAAGCGAGGAGGAGGCUACUGAGACUAAUACUCUUGGAUAGUGGACGUUACUCGCAGAAUAAGCACCGGCUAACUCUGUGCCAGCAGCCGCGGUAA